rnacentral:tRNA from 1 species
UGAUAGCUCAGCUGUUUAGAGCAUGGUGUUGAUAAUGCCAAGGUUGCAGGUUCAAUCCCUGGAUGGGACAG